GUGAGGAAUAUUGCGCAAUGGAGGCAACUCUGACGCAGCCAUGCCGCGUGCAGGAAGAAGGCGCUACGCGUUGUAAACUGCUUUUAACCGGGAAGAAACCCCAGGACGUGUCCUGGGUUGACGGUACCGGAGGAAUAAGCACCGGCUAACUUCGUGCCAGCAGCCGCGGUAAUACGAAGGGUGCAAGCGUUAUCCGGAUUCAUUGGGUUUAAAGGGUGCGUAGACGGAGCGUUAAGUCAGUGGUGAACUCCUGCAGCUUAACUGUAGACUUGCCAUUGGUACUGGCGCGCUUGAGUGCGCGUGAAGGGGGCGGAAUGUGCCGUGUAGCGGUGAAAUGCUUAGAUAUGGCACAGAACACCAAUUGCGAAGGCAGCUCACUAAGGCGAUACUGACGCUGAGGCACGAAAGCGUGGGGAUCGAACAGGAUUAGAUACCCUAGUAGUCC
rnacentral:rRNA from 1 species